GUCCACGCCGUAAACGAUGAGCGCUAGACGUCGCGGGUAUUGACCCCUGCGGUGUCGAAGCUAACGCAUUAAGCGCUCCGCCUGGGGAGUACGGCCGCAAGGCUAAAACUCAAAGGAAUUGACGGGGGCCCGCACAAGCGGUGGAGUAUGUGGUUUAAUUCGACGCAACGCGCAGAACCUUACCCGGACUUGACAUCGAGGUAACACCCCUUGAAAGAGGGGUGGCCCCUUCGGGGGACCAAAGACAGGUGCUGCAUGGCUGUCGU
rnacentral:rRNA from 1 species